rnacentral:rRNA from 1 species
AAUGAACGUUGGCAGCGUGGAUUAGGCAUGCAAGUCGAGCGACAAGGUCCCUUCGGGGACUGGAGGAGCGGCAAACGGGGUAGUAAGGCAUCGGAACGUACCCUCUUGUCCGGGAUAGCCGCGGGAAACUGCGAUUAAUACCGGAUAAUCUCAGCGCUUGUGAUGAGUGCUGAGCAAAGGUCCGCCGCGGGAGGAGCGGCCGAUGUGAUAUCAGGUAGUUGGCGGGGUAACGGCCACCAAGCCUUCGACGUCUAGGGGAGUGUGAGAGCAUGAUCCCCACCCACUGGGACGUGAGAUACUGCCCAGACACUUACGGGUGGCUGCAGUCGAGAAUCUUCGG